rnacentral:rRNA from 1 species
UGCAGUCGAGCGGUAGAGAGAAGCUUGCUUCUCUUGAGAGCGGCGGACGGGUGAGUAAUGCCUAGGAAUCUGCCUGGUAGUGGGGGAUAACGUUCGGAAACGGACGCUAAUACCGCAUACGUCCUACGGGAGAAAGCAGGGGACCUUCGGGCCUUGCGCUAUCAGAUGAGCCUAGGUCGGAUUAGCUAGUUGGUGAGGUAAUGGCUCACCAAGGCGACGAUCCGUAACUGGUCUGAGAGGAUGAUCAGUCACACUGGAACUGAGACACGGUCCAGACUCCUACGGGAGGCAGCGGUGGGGAAUAUUGGACAAUGGGCGAAAGCCUGAUCCAGCCAUGCCGCGUGUGUGAAGAGGGUCUUCGGAUUGUAAAGCACUUUAAGUUGGGAGGAAGGGCAGUUGCCUAAUACGUAACUGUUUUGACGUUACCGACAGAAUAAGCACCGGCUAACUCUGUGCCAGCAGCCGCGGUAAUACAGAGGGUGCAAGCGUUAAUCGGAAUUACUGGGCGUAAAGCGCGCGUAGGUGGUUUGUUAAGUUGGAUGUGAAAUCCCCGGGCUCAACCUGGGAACUGCAUUCAAAACUGACUGACUAGAGUAUGGUAGAGGGUGGUGGAAUUUCCUGUGUAGCGGUGAAAUGCGUAGAUAUAGGAAGGAACACCAGUGGCGAAGGCGACCACCUGGACUAAUACUGACACUGAGGUGCGAAAGCGUGGGGAGC